CCUACGGGAGGCAGCAGUGAGGAAUAUUGGUCAAUGGGCGGGAGCCUGAACCAGCCAAGUCGCGUGAAGGAAGAAGGUACUUAGUAUUGUAAACUUCUUUUAAGAGGGAAGAGCAGAAGACGGUACCUCUUGAAUAAGCCACGGCUAACUACGUGCCAGCAGCCGCGGUAAUACGUAGGUGGCAAGCGUUGUCCGGAUUUACUGGGUGUAAAGGGCGUGUAGCCGGGCUGACAAGUCAGAUGUGAAAUUCCGGGGCUCAACCCCGGACCUGCAUUUGAAACUGUUGGUCUUGAGUAUCGGAGAGGCAGGCGGAAUUCCUAGUGUAGCGGUGAAAUGCGUAGAUAUUAGGAGGAACACCAGUGGCGAAGGCGGCCUGCUGGACGACAACUGACGGUGAGGCGCGAAAGCGUGGGGAGCAAACAGGAUUAGAUACCCCAGUAGUC
rnacentral:rRNA from 1 species